rnacentral:piRNA from 1 species
GAAAUGGUGACUAGGAUCCACAGG